rnacentral:misc_RNA from 1 species
GCUGGAUCAUAUUUAAGCAUCUUCGAUAGAAGGUCAACACCCUCAGGUCCGAGUGAUGGAACAGCGCGUGCCAGGGUUUGGGACUCCCAUUGUGGAUAGACAUGCCAAUCACGCAAAGAAGUUACUCCUGGCCACUGCUUGUCAGUUGGUGUUCCCAACAUCCUGAAAAUAUGAAGCAACUGUUGAAACUCAGAGUCACCAGGAAACAGAGCUUGCCUUCUGACCAUUUCAGCGAAUAUGCAACCAACGGACCACAUAUCUACGGCUGUAGAGUAAUGAGUGGAACCGAGCAAGACCUCGGGAGCCCGAUACCAAAGAGUAACAAUCUCGUGGGUAUAGCUUUUAAGGGGUACAGUGAAAGCGCGGCCAAGGCCGAGAUCGGCGAUCUUGAGAAUACCCUUAUCCUUAUCUAGCAAAAGGUUCUGGGGCUUGAGAUCUCGGUGGAGGACACCAUGGCUAUGACAGUGGGCAACGCCUUUGCAGAGCUGAAAGAGGAAGCUCUGAAUGAGACCAGGAGGGAGAGGCCUAGGGUUAGGUCCUUUGCGGUGGGAAUCAAUAAACUUCUUAAGAUCGGUGUCGAGGUACUCGAAGACCAAGUAGAGAUUAGAUUUAGAAAUGGAAUUUUCCUUAUUAUCAUCGGCAGCAGCAGCGGAGGCAUUAGCGUCGACGUACUCAACGCAGAGGAGGCGAACGACGUAGAGAGAUUGAGAGAGCAUCUGAAGCAAGGAGACCUCGCGGAGAGCGGUGGGAGGAAUACCUUCCUCGUCCAUCUCAAGUCUGGUCUUUUUGAGAGCGACGAUUUGGCCCGUGGAUUUGUCUUUGGCCUUGUACACCUUGCCGUAGGUGCCUUCCCCAACCUUCUCCAGCUUCUCAUACUUGUCCAUGGGGGGUUUCUCUUCCCUACCUUCUGUUAGGAAGCAGUGAACCCUAGAAGAAGGCAAAUUGAAGCGUCUAACGGUUGUCUCUGAAUAGA